rnacentral:rRNA from 1 species
AUGAACGCUGACAGACUGCUUAACCCAUGCACGUCUUUGGCGAAGCUGUGCUUGCACAGCCUAGCCAAGGCGGACGGGUGAGUAACGCGUAAGGAACUUGCCCUGCAGUCAGGGAUAACAGACGGAAACGACUGAUAAGACCUGGUAAAGUCAGGCGGACUCAUGUCCAGCCUGAUGAAAAGAGAUGCUGCAGGAGAGCCUUGCGUCCUAUUAGCUUGUUGGUGGGGUAACGGCCCACCAAGGCGAUGAUAGGUAGCCGGCCUGAGAGGGUGGACGGCCACAAGGGGACUGAGAUACGGCCCUUACUCCUACGGGAGGCAGCAGUGGGGAAUAUUGGACAAUGGGGGCAACCCUGAUCCAGCAAUUCUGUGUGCACGAUGAAGGUUUUCGGAUUGUAAAGUGCUUUCAGCAGGGAAGAAAAAAAUGACGGUACCUGCAGAAGAAGCGACGGCUAAAUACGUG